rnacentral:rRNA from 1 species
AGAAUGAACGCUGGCGGCGUGCUUAACACAUGCAAGUCGAGCGAGGCCUGGGGGGCAACUCCCAGAGUCGAGCGGCGGACGGGUGAGUAACACGUGGGUAACCUGCCCGGAAGUGGGGAAUACCUCGGGGAAGCUCGAGCUAAUACCGCAUGACAUCUUGGGACGAAAGUCCUGACGAUCAAAGCGGGGUCGCAAGAUCUCGCGCUACCGGAUGGGCCCGCGCCCGAUUAGCUAGUUGGUGAGGUAACGGCUCACCAAGGCUUCGAUC